rnacentral:misc_RNA from 1 species
GUUAUACAAGUUUGUUUCUUUGAUACCCAAAAAAUAGCACAUCCACCCAAGGUGAACACCCAACCGAAGGUUGACUUAUUAUCCUUAACACUAGUUAUCCAACUAGAAUAUGUACAACCCUAGGAUCUCCAUCAUAUUUAUUUCAUUAGUUUGUUAUGUAAUCAUAUAUUUAUAACAUGAAGUAUAAAGAUAAUUCAUAGUCUAGAUGUGUACCUUAUUUGGAAAAACAAAUUGCUCCACAAGUAGUUUAAAAUAAGAGCCUCCAAAGGUUAAGAACUAGGACAAACUUGCACACACAAAUGCACACUUAUUUGUCCUUUUACCACUCCUUACAAAUGACGUGUAAGGCUCUAAUAUUUACUACUCAAAGUGCACCAACCUUUUGUCCAACAAAUUCAUCUCUUCAUGCUUGUAACUAUUAAGAAGAAUUACUUAUCUUCAUUCAGUUAAAUCUUUUGGCCAAUGGGCAUAACUCUUUCUAUGGAUACAACUCUUUAUGUGGUUUUAGCACAAUUGGAAAUUUGUCAUGGAACAAUCUAUAGUUUAUAGUUCUUUUUAAAUAUCCAAAAA